rnacentral:lncRNA from 1 species
GCUUCGAACUCAAAGUACGAUCACAUCAAAACCUAGUCGCCUUUGAUUUUAUCAUCAGAAUCAUGCCAAGAGGAUACUCUUUAGAAGUUUCACAACUUAGAAUUUGAUUUUGAGGUCCAACAUAUGGAAAAAUCAAACCCUAGGAUAAACUAGCAACACUUGCUAAUUCUCUCACCACCCUUCUUACAACUUUUCCUCUCAAUUUUUUCUUUCUCUUUUUCUCAAUUGUUUUCUAAUUUUUUUUUUCUUUUAUUACACACCAAUUGGCUCUAAUUUUCAUCCAAAAUCUAGCCCUCAACCCAUAUGAGACACCCCAUAUAAAUAGACUAAUAGGGGAUGUGAGGAAGGACCAAGGGGCACCAACUCUUGGCACUCAAACUUCUCAUGUAGAGAAAUAAAUCUUCAUGAUUUAUUUUAGCACAGAAGACCCUUCACAUAGAAGGACUCCUCAUCUUCUACACCCCAUAAAUAUUUUACAUUAAAUUAGUGUGUAAUAGUUAAGUAUCUGGAUAGAAAUGAAGAGAUAGAUAAGAGCCUUCUUGAAGGACUCUUCACUUCUCAACACAAUUAAGAGGAGGGCAGCAAUUUAUUUUUGGCAUGACACCUGAUGGGUACAGAGGACUCCUUCCACACUUAAAAUAUUUUCAAGUUAGAUAAG